UACGUAGGGGGCAAGCGUUGUCCGGAAUUAUUGGGCGUAAAGCGCGCGCAGGCGGUUCUUUAAGUCUGGUGUUUAAACCCGAGGCUCAACUUCGGGUCGCACUGGAAACUGGGGGACUUGAGUACAGGAGAGGAGAGUGGAAUUCCACGUGUAGCGGUGAAAUGCGUAGAUAUGUGGAGGAACACCAGUGGCGAAGGCGACUCUCUGGGCUGUAACUGACGCUGAGGCGCGAAAGCGUGGGGAGCAAACAGG
rnacentral:rRNA from 1 species